UUACUGGGCGUAAAGGGUGUGUAGGAGGUCUGAAAAGUCAAAUGUGAAAUCCCUCUGCCUAACGGAGGAACUGCGUUCGAAACUGUCUGGCUAGAGGCUCGGAUGGGGAAGCGGAACUCUCGGUGUAGCAGUGAAAUGCGUAGAUAUCGAGAGGAACACCGGUGGCGAAGGCGGCUUCCUGGACGAAACCUGACUCUGAAACACGAAAGCUAGGGGAGCAAACGGGAUUAGAUACCCCGGUAGUCCUAGCUGUAGACGGUGUGCGUUAGGUGUUGGCGGAUUCGACCCCGCCGGUGCCGAAGCUAACGCAUUAAACGCACCGCCUGAGGAGUACGGUCGCAAGGCUAAAACUCAAAGAAAUUGACGGGGGCCCGCACAAGCGGUGGAGCAUGUGGCUUAAUCCGAUGCAACGCGAAGAACCCUACCUGGCCUUGACAUGCAGCGUUCAGUCCCGGAAACGGGAUGGCCCGCAAGGGCGAGCUGCACAGGUGCUGCAUGGCUGUCGUCAGCUCGUGUCGUGAGAUGUUGGGUUAAGUCCCCCAACGAGCGCAACCCCUGUGUUUAGUUGCCGAAAGGUUCUCUAGACAGACUGCCCUCUUCAAGGGGGAGGAAGGUGGGGACGACGUCAAGUCAGGAUGGCCCUUAUGGCCAGGGCUGCACACGUGCUACAAUGCUCGGCACAAAGGGAAGCAAGACCGCGAGGUGGAGCAAAUCCCCAAAACCGAGCCCAGUUCGGAUUGAAGGCUGCAACUCGCCUUCAUGAAGCCGGAAUCGCUAGUAAUGGCGCAUCAGCUACGGCGCCGUGAUACGUUCCCGGG
rnacentral:rRNA from 1 species